GAAGGUGGCAAGCGUUGUUCGGAUUUACUGGGCGUACAGGGAGCGUAGGCGGUUGGAUAAGCCCUCCGUGAAAUCUCCAGGCUUAACCUGGAAAGUGCAGAGGGGACUGUUCAGCUAGAGGAUGGGAGAGGAGCGCGGAAUUCCCGGUGUAGCGGUGAAAUGCGUAGAGAUCGGGAGGAAGGCCGGUGGCGAAGGCGGCGCUCUGGAACAUUUCUGACGCUGAGGCUCGAAAGCGUGGGGAGCAGACAGGAUUAGAUACCCUGGUAGUCCACGCCUUAAACGAUGGAUACUAAGUGUCGGCGGGUUACCGCCGGUGCCGCAGCUAACGCAGUAAGUAUCCCGCCUGGGAAGUACGGCCGCAAGGUUG
rnacentral:rRNA from 1 species